CCGAAGGGCCGCCGCUCCCACGGGGGACGCUUCAUCCUGAGGGGAAGUCCCGGCCCCGAGGGGACGUCCUGUCAAUGAGGGGGGGGGCGUCUUGCCCCCAGGGCCGCGCGCGUCUCUGCCGAGAACUGAAAUCUCCGCUCCCGCUCUGAGGGCGGCCAAAGCAGCCGGACCCACGACCAAAAGGAGACGUGCCUCGGUUGCCUCCUGGCAGCCGUGGCUCCUCGACCGACCGCCGCCUGCGUUGUAGCCCUUCAGCCUUAGGCCACGAGUAAAAAGCUGCUCCGGCGUGAGCUCAGGCGCUCUAGGGGUGGGUGGUGGGGUAACGCAGCUUCUGAUGGCGCGCGGUGAGCAGCUGGAGGGACCGGGGAAGGGUCGGUGCUGCUGGGUGCCGUGCAGUGCUGGUGGCUGGGCUCCGGAGCGCACCGGACUCGCGCUGACAGGAGGAGGAGAGCAGCAGCUUUAUGAAUGCUCGGGGCAUUGAGCUUGGAACGGUGAAAUGUUGCAACCCAGAUCCUGCCCCGAGCCUGCCGCAGGACCAGCUGCUGCUGUCCACUCCUCUGUCAUGAGAGAGGAAACACCUCGCCUUGUGUUACGCUAGAAAAGCAGGCGGGAGGGAUUUGCAGCCACAGCUUUUCAGCAGACGGUCUUCUUCCUCUGCUGUCAAGUAGAAAUACAGUUGGGUAAGCAGCAAGGCCAGAGAUGAAACUCAGGAGUCACGACCUUCUUUUCCCCACCCCAGCCACCAGCAUCAUUACCUUCCCUCCCGUGACCUUGCCAAGCUGCACCCAAUUAGGGAGCUGGGAAGGCAGAGGGGUCAAUGCUGGCGGCAUGCAAAUUUGGAAGUAGGAUGUCCCGGAGGUGACGCUUCCCGUGGAGACAGAGAAGUGCUUGUGCCCCAUUCAGGAGCACUCGCAUCUGGGAUAUGCUGUCCAUCCUGCUUCAGAGCUCUGGGCUCAUGGUGCAUGCAGCUAGAAGCCUGCCUUACGAAAAGAAACCAGGACAGCUCAGCUUGGCUUGUCCAGCAGAGAGAAAGCAAAGAUGAAAUAUGAUUGCUCUAUCAGCUCGAGUGGAGAAAGGAGAUAAAUUUCAAGGAAGGGACAGAGCUGUUUGGAGCUAAAUUGUAGCAAAAGAAAAGGCUAUUAGCUGGCCUUUAAUUUACUUAAUUUAAUUAACACAAAAUUAGGGGAUGGUUUCUAAUUCAUUGCAGGAAAAACUUUCAGCUUGCGUCCUUGCAGCUGUAAAGCAACGAGAGUUUGGCCAGGCCUGCUCUGGUAGGGUGCAGGGCCAUUUGGAGCCCCUUAUCCUCACAGCAUAUGUUUGGUGCAAUCUGGUCGUAGAAGCCUGAGAUUCAAUGGCCAGUGUUCAUGAAUGUGGCAGCGUGGCCUUGGCCAUUGAGCUGUCAUUAACCCCUUGUUUCUUCUGCCCUUAGAUCACAUCCCUGCUGUGACAGAGAUGGCCCAGGUAUGCAUAUGAGGCUGGUCUUAAAUUGUUGAAUCUCCAGUUCAAAGCAGUUUUGUCAUCUUGCUCCUGCAGCUUUUAACCCUUACUCUAUCCUAACACCAUUCUGUGCAUAGCCUCCAUAUGCCUUUCUUUUUCUAGGAUGGACAAGACGAAUUCCCACAGUUCUGUAAUGGUCUGGCUCUUGCCUAGGUGAUAUUAGAAAUCUGUCAGUGCAUUGAUUGACAGAAUUGCACGAGCUUUUCACAAAGUGUGCCUGCCUUCUGGAGAAAGUACCUAGCCCUAGAGUGCCUGAAAGUCACCUCCUACAACUUUGACUCACAAACCUUUGACUGUUUCGGUUGUGCCCUGCAGCGCUCUGCCCUGCCUGUGGCUGGCAGUGAGCACUCCCUUGAAAGAGCUGGCAGGAAGGAAGCACGUGCUGGCUGAUCACAUCUCGCUGUAGUUGCAUCAUCUGUAAUCGUGACCCCAGCUUUUAUUAUCAGAGAGGCACCAUUUGGCAUAAUGGCAUUUUUGUUGUCAUUGUUGUUUGCAAUCUUCUCUUUCUAGAUCAAUGUUUAGACUGCAAACUCUUUGAGAUAGCCCCAUGUUUCUAUUCUGUGCUGGUGCAACACUUGACAAAAAGCUUCUGACCUGCAGCUGCAGCAUGUUAGAGCUGUGGUCAAACAAGCAGAAAGUGAGACAGAGAUUUAAUUUGUUUUCAAGUCCCUCCUGUUCCCCACCGCUAAUCACACACUGCUAGUGUGGUAAAUACCAGCAGCCUGGUUUUCUUAUCCACUGCCAGACCAGAGAGGAAGAAGAUGAGGAAGGCAUGAACUAGAGAGCUAGAGGAAGGGAAUGGUCUGGCAGCCAAAAAAAUGGCUUAAAUCCAUAGGCUUCCUGUGAGGAAAGGCAAAUAGAGGGUCAAAGUCCGCUUUAGAAAGAGGCAGAAGCAUUGGAAUCACUAGUCAAGACCUCAGAAGAGUAGAGAGGGGCUUGAAGCACUGUGGAACUGUUCUCAGGAAAGUCUUCAAGAGUGAUGGCAAAUGUGGUGACACAGCCUCAGGCAUGCUGAGGUGACAGCAGAUCCAAGUUGAUCCUGAAACUAGGCUGGCUGGGCUGUAAUACACCAGAGUCUGUAUCACGCUGCUCCAAACAGCUCUGGGGAGCUCUGUUCAAACCAAAGUGAAUGCAGCACAUUUGUGGGCAAUACUGCCAGCGGCCGUUCUUCUGCUCGCUCCUGCAGACACCUCAGCACGAAGCCUUGGGCUGGGGCUCUGGCCUCUCCCUGCUCCGCACUAAAUAUGAGGCUCACUGCAGUAGAAGCAUUGUUUUCCCCCUGUUUCACAGUGGCUCCCCUUUGAUGUUAAUUGUUUGCAGGCAAAGUUUAGCAGAGAGCGUAUCUGCUCUCUGGUUCAUCUGCUGGUUACUACUGAGCUGCCCAGACCAGUGGAGAAAAUGCUUUGAUGUUAAUGAGCUGCAGACAAUUUCACUUAACACCGAGCAGAGCCUGGCAUCUCAGAGGUAAGGCUUUCAAGGCAGAUGCUACAGCAAGUCUCUCCAACAUCCGUUCUGCCAUAGGAACAGAAAAUACACAAGAAGGCAUUAGAGCCGAAAUUUGUCUUCUCCCCCUAUAAGCUAUGCACCACACCUGGUAUUGUUAUGGCCGCAGAGGUACCAGAGGCCAGGAAGAAGCAGGGAAAAAAAAAUGGCCCCAUGAAACAGCAUUGCAAUUAUGGGAUUCAGUGGAAAUAGGAUUCAACCCCCCCUAUAAAAAGCCUGCCUCUCAGGUCUGAGUACGCAGAAAUGUGAGAAGGGGAUGGACUACAAAUUGCUGGUUUGCAAGAGUCUGCCUCCUGUGUGGCUUGCAGCAAUCCUGCACUGAGGGCAGCACCUUCUCCAUCAGCACAUCUGAGCAAUACAGGCCAGCUGCAGUGAAGCAGGACUUGCACAGGCAUUCUUGAACAGUCCUCGUACCUUAGUGGACACCCAGUGGGUACCACAGUCUCAGGAGGAGCCUCUCAGGAGACAGUGAAUCCCAAGUGGGAACAAAAGCAAGUGAAGAAAAGAAAAAAAACAACGCCACAAAUUCAAGCUUGUAAUCCACUACAAGUCAUCAGCAAAGUGUAUUUAAUACAUCAGGCAAGCUCUGCUUCGAACCACACACUAUGAGGCUUCGACUGAAAGAGCGAGCAUCCUAGUCCUCUGGGGAGCCCCCGGCCAAGCAGAACCAAAUGCAGGCUAUGCCUUGUCAAGUAGAGCAACAAAUGAGACCUCACUGAAGGUUAAGCAGAAACAUGCCUUAUUCUGAGGAACUUGGCUUAGCUCCAAUAUAUUGCCUUUGUUAAAUGAUUUAUAGGAACACGAGAGAGAUACUGUCUUCUCAGUUUUCUCGCCAGGACAGGAUAGUUCCCUGCAGCAAACUUGAGAUUACAGAGGUAAAAUAAUGCAAGCCAGGACUGAAUGCUUGUUCUAACACUAUUCCAGGGAGGAUCUCACGCAAAUGUGUGUACUUUAUCCUACGCUUAAAUGAAGUGUCACAAGGUGUUUUUUUUCCUUUCGCUUGGAACAAAUAAAUAAAGAAAUAAAAAGAAAUGUGGAAUCAUACAGCAGGCUGUGACUGGGCCAAAGGGAGAACAUGGCAGCUUGGAGAGACUUUGAGAAGAUAAACUAACCUUUGACAAGGCAUUCAGCUAAACGGCAAAAUUCACUCCCAAAAGUCCUCCCAUCCCAGCAGAGUUGUGGGCCAUGCUUUGCACUGUGGAUACAACCCAAAAGCCAGCAUGGCAAAGGAGAGGAAACUGGCUGAUGAGAGGAAAGCACGGUGCGACACGUGCUGCAAUCCACAGGCACAGAUGCACAGCUGAUGAAGAAGGCAUUCUGAAGUAAAAAAGACAUCCUUCAACAAGUGUAAGUUGUGGCCAAAGAUUAAGCAGAGAAAAUCCCAAAUUCUGGCAAGUUAAAUAAAAAACCCGCCACACA